rnacentral:rRNA from 1 species
GAUGAACGCUGGCGGCGUGCCUAAUACAUGCAAGUCGAGCGAACUGAUUAGAAGCUUGCUUCUAUGACGUUAGCGGCGGACGGGUGAGUAACACGUGGGCAACCUGCCUGUAAGACUGGGAUAACUUCGGGAAACCGAAGCUAAUACCAGAUAGGAUCCUCUCCUUCAUGGGAGAUGAUUGAAAGAUGGUUUCGGCUAUCACUUACAGAUGGGCCCGCGGUGCAUUAGCUAGUUGGUGAGGUAACGGCUCACCAAGGCAACGAUGCAUAGCCGACCUGAGAGGGUGAUCGGCCACACUGGGACUGAGACACGGCCCAGACUCCUACGGGAGGCAGCAGUAGGGAAUCUUCCGCAAUGGACGAAAGUCUGACGGAGCAACGCCGCGUGAGUGAUGAAGGCUUUCGGGUCGUAAAACUCUGUUGUUAGGGAAGAACAAGUACAAGAGUAACUGCUUGUACCUUGACGGUACCUAACCAGAAAGCCACGGCUAACUACGUGCCAGCCGCCGCGGUAACAC